UACCAGUUGUAGAGGAAUAUAUAUAGCUAACAGAAUGUAAUGAGAAGAUCAUCAAGGAAAAUGAAAUAGUCUAUUUCUCCCCCAAAGCCUCGGUUACCGAUUACGUUACCUCGGAUCCACGACCAGAAGCACCGAGAACAGCAAUAUACAAGCCGCUUCAGUUCUUGCUCCAGGUACUACUCGAGAUCCAUUACUGCUCCAUUCUUGUGAUAUCCCACCAUGAUGCAAGUAUCAGUUUCAUCCCUUCCCUGGGAUCGAAACUGCUCUGAUACCAAUUGUUAUGUACCGGAUGAUUUGGGGUGAUUUGGAGGUGAGUUUGUGAAAGAGAAGGAGAGGUAGAGAAAACAAAGAGAGAUAAGGCGAGAGAUUGGGAGGAAGAGGAUAGGGUUUUAGAAGAAUUAGAAUAGGGUUUGGGGAAUGAGAAAGAGAGGAUAAUUGGGGAAGAAGACAAGCUAGUUCAUUUCCAUUCCUACCCUUGUAAUGCUUAACAUUCUCGUACUUAUACUACUUUUGGUUCUAUACUGAAAUGAAAAUUACAUAUUCUCUGAGGGUUAACAACAAAGUGACAAAAUAAGAUGUUGUCGGGUUGGGCUGCCAUUCGGGGUAGUUGGGCCCUCUUCUGGGCUUUCCGGUUCAUAGCUGCUUGUAACGGGCAAUCGGGCGUCGGCUCGACCUUAUCCGCAUCAUCCGCUACCCGGCGGGUACUGGGUUCGCGUUUUGCCUCCGCUCCGAGAUCCUGAAGCUUCGAUCCGCCAGUCCUCUUCUUCGCCCCAACUCCAUGGACUCCGUCGGACAUCCCAGCGCCCUCUCCGAGCUUUGAGGAUGCCCUAGCUCCGUCGUCCCUACCAGAGCUCCGCCCGGACCACCUCUCGCCUGACUGUUCCGUCAAGCUCGCCUGAGCCCUUCGAAGACGCUUCUCGUCGGCCCACCUGCCGCACCUCCUCCUCUCCACCUGCUGCUGCCACUUAUUCUUCUUCUAGCUAGUAAAGCUGCUACCUUUACUCCUCUUCUACAUCUAACUACUAAUACUACUACUACUUCUACCAGGGUUGUUACAGAUUCAACUACUAAUGCGAAAGCCCGAGAGUCGGUUCGGGUUCGACAAUUAAUAGACGAAACCAACACUUUUGGUGAAGUCAUUGUAAUUUAUAUUUCA